UUAUGGAAUACCCCACAGGAGGCAGGAAACUCCUUCUAAUAAAGUUAGUAGACAAGUAUAAUAAAAUUACUGUAGUUCAUUAUGUAUACGACAUACAGACAAUGCUCAACAAACGCAAACUCACGCCUACAAGCCAUUGGAGGUAGAGUCAUGUUGUGAGAAUACAUAUCUAGCUACAUGAGAGAAGAAGAACGAAGACUCAUCAACGCUGUUUUUAAAAAUUUUACAUAGGUAUGGGAAGCGCCAGACGUUGCCGAGGCCUACGCUGUAGCCCAGCAGCGACAGCAGGAAGUCGAACCUGCCCGUCCAGUUGCCGCGCUCGGGCUCCGCAUCCUCCGCCGGCGGCUCCGUCAUCUCCUCCUU